UACGUAGGGGGCAAGCGUUAUCCGGAUUUACUGGGUGUAAAGGGAGCGUAGACGGCAGCGCAAGUCUGGAGUGAAAUGCCGGGGCUCAACCCCGGAACUGCUUUGGAAACUGUGCAGCUAGAGUGCGGGAGAGGUAAGCGGAAUUCCUAGUGUAGCGGUGAAAUGCGUAGAUAUUAGGAGGAACACCAGUGGCGAAGGCGACUUACUGGACCGUAACUGACGUUGAGGCUCGAAAGCGUGGGGAGCAAACAGG
rnacentral:rRNA from 1 species